rnacentral:lncRNA from 1 species
AUGGAUCAAAACUCCUCCUGCUAUAGUGAGAUAUCAAACCUGCUCAAGACCAUAAACAAGAUACAAGCAGUUUUGGGUUUGUUUUCUGUGUUUAACUUUUUAGGGCCAUACCCUAAGGCUAGGGGUCCAGUUGGAGCUACAGCUGCCGACCUAUGCCAUGGCCACACAACACAGGAUCCAAGCCACGUCUGCAACCUACACCACAGCUCACGGCAACGCUGGAUCCUUAACCCACUGAGGAAGGCCAGGGAUCGAACCCACAACCUCACGAUUCCUAGUCAGAUUCCUUUCUGCUGCACCACAAUGGGAACUCCAAUGCAAGCAGUUAUAGAUUCCAAAAGCAUUGCUCAGUUAUAAGAGAAGACGAUUAAAAAAAGCCGUGCAGGAGAAUGGAAGAAGCUAAAUAUAUCUCAGCCUCUAACAUCAUGUCAAUGAAAAGUAAAAUUUACCAAUUGGAUAACACACGUGUCUUGCACUGACCACUGUCUAUACUUGGAGUUGGUAGUUUUCAUUGAUCGAAUGCUGCCAAGUCCGUGAUAUUUCUAGCUAUUACCUCCAAUUUCUGGAAGGGAAAAGCCAAACAGUGAAUGUCUUAACAGGAGUAAAUGAAAACAGGUGCCAGGAAAACAGAAAGAUGAAUGCUAAGGUCCUAACAUACGGCGACUAGAACUACCUUGGGUACCACAUGGUCCUGUGGAACUGGCCCUCCCUGUAUUGGACAUGUGAGCAUCCUUGCAUUUCUUCUGCAUUUUGUAGCCCUGGAUAUUCCUAGGCAACAUCCUACUAUCAUUUCUUUAUUUCAAAGCGUAAACUUACUAGCCCGAGGAGCUAUUAGUAUUGUGUUCACUAUUAAAUUCCCUGAUAGAAGUUCCUUAGAAAGCUGGGAAGUCAUUUCAUUUCUGGAGUGGUUUUGUUUUCUCUUGGAGCACAUGACUGGAGAGGUCAAUUAGGAUUGCCUUUUGGUCCUGGACUCUAAGAACUUCCCUUCCUCUCUUUCUUCUCCCAUCUCUGUCCCCUCUUCCUCCCUCCUACCUUCAUCUAGGGUUUGCCCCAUUUAGGAGAAAGGGUGGAGUUAGCUCUGAUCCCUGUGCUGGAGGACUUGCAAAUGAGAGGGAAGGAGGGAGGGAGGGUAAUGAGUGAUCCAGAGAGGGGGAAAGAAGGAAGCAGCAUUUGAGCCGAGGCUUGAAGGCUUGGUAGGACUCUGGCAGGUGGAUGAGGACAGGGACAGAUGCUGGGGUGGAAAAGAUGGUGGGAGGAAGUGGCAGAGGUGUGUGCAGGCGUGAGGGAGGGAGGAUGGGAUUGGCAAGAAUGGUGGAGAGAGUGGAAUGGGGUUAGGGUGUUCCAAGGAGUUGAGGAUUAUUGUGUUUGGAUUAUUGUGCAGGGAUUUGGCUCAUCCUCCUGAUAAAUGUUCAUGAAAAGCUCUCGACAGAACGCAGCAGGUGUGUCGGGUGGAAUAUUUGCUUUUUGAAGGGCUGCUGAACUUCCUAUGGAGACGACGAACUACCCACGAGGUGUCUGUGUUACCCACGUAUUUCACCCAAACACAGUCUAAAGAACACCUGGAUAGAACAUUUUACUUCUUACGGAGCUGGAAGAUUAGUUUGAAUCUAUAAUGAGUCUGUUUAUAUCCCCGAAGUAACACUGCGUGGUCUAGUCUGCUUUUAGAAUAUAAAUAAUAACUGCUUCACCAAAGACACCAUCCCUGGGCCCACAGGGGGCCCUUGGGGUCUCAGAAGAGUUGCAAGAUUAGAAUCCCAAGUGAUAACCUGAGAUGGAAUCAGAAAGGCGUUGACAGGCCCUGGAGAGCUGUGUAAGCCCCUUCCCACAUGAUGGGAGUGAGGCGAUCCACUUUCAGAAUAAAAUGUGUGUGUGUGUUUGUGUGUGUGUGUGU